rnacentral:lncRNA from 1 species
UGGAGAAGUCAGCAAGCAGAGAUCACUGCUGAGGAAUUACAUCAUCUGAAGCAUUCGUGCCGGAAACCAAUUUUUAUGGCAGCUUGUGGCAGAUGCAGAUGGUAUAGAACUUCAAUACAUUUUUAUGGUGUGUUUCGAACAAUAACAUAUGAGAAAUGAGCAGGUAUACCAUUGGUUAAUGUAUAUCAUUCUUUGAAGAAACAGUUGUUGCAUAGGAUUGUCAUUUCGCUCUCUUUAACGGUGAGAUGAAAUCUCCGCUAUUAAAUUGGUUUAUUUGAAUUCAUCUAAUUGGAGAUAGAUUGAAGUGAAUUUGGGCUGUAGAAGCAGGUAUGCAAAGAUCAGGGCAAACACCGCAGUUUUUUGGCCAAUUGAUCUGUUGAAAGCUAGUUUAUUUCGAAGCACCCCGAGAUGAUGUUGGAAGACUGGACACAUUUUGGACCAAUUUUUAGCGUUCAAACGUUCAUAUGUGAAAAUAGAACAUGGAAGUACUCACUUCACAUUGGAAAGUAAAAACUAUUGGAUAGUCUAGUUGUAGGGAGCCUUCUUGAGCUUCCAC